rnacentral:tRNA from 1 species
GGCGAUGUAGCUCAGUUGGUUAGAGCAUGCGGCUCAUAUCCGCAGGGUGCGGGGUUCAACUCCCUGCAUCGCCA